rnacentral:tRNA from 2 species
GCUAAGGUGGCAGAUUUAUGUGUUAGAUUUAGGAUCUAAAGAAGAGUAAUGUUACUUCCUUAGUA